GAGCAGUUGGUUUCGUUGUCUUGAUUUGGGGCAGUAAUGAUUUCUGAGAAGCAGGUGAUUGAUACGCACAAAUUCAAAGCCCCUUGGGGGCUGCAUUGUAGCAUGGUGUGGAGAUGGGGAGACAGAGGGCUGGUAGGAUCCCGAAUUCCUAGUUUUUCUCUCCCUCUCCCUUGCUUCUUUGUUUUCUUCCUUCAGGCUUUCUUCCAUCAAAUAUUUGUGGAGCUGGAACUGGGCUUCACUAUCAUAUUCCAAGGCCCUGUACUGGGAACAGACGAAGAAGCUCCUCCCAGAGACUGGAAGAAUGGUACAAGGUGUGAAAACCAAGGCUUAAAGCAUGCAAGUUAUUUGCCCAAGGUUUUUCAGCCACAAAUGAAGAAGCUGGGUCUGCUCCACACCUGUGAACCAGUCUAUUUCCACCAUAACCUGAACUCAGAUUAGCACCAGCCCAUGGAGAAUAGUCCAGAAGGCUGCCCAUAGCCUUAAAGGACAGUCAGCCCCACAAAAUGAGUGUUAUAUUCUGGAUUAUCAGAAGAGAAAUGUGAGAUGCAGGCAGGUUGAGAAAAUUGCUCCAAGUCACUUCGGGAAUGUGUGCAUGGACAAG